rnacentral:tRNA from 1 species
GCUAUUUUGGCAGACAAGUGUGAUGAUUUUAGAAUUCAUUAAUAUAUAAAUUUAAUUUACUUAUAUAAAUAGUA